UCCACCACAGCCCCUCUCCCCCUCCACGCCCACUACAGAGGGUCGCGCUACUCGCCUUUCUCUCUCCAGUCCUGAGCUGCUGACGGAGCUGCGUCGGUCUCAGUCCCGUCCUAUGAAGCACGUCUCCAUCUCUAAAGGACUCACCACUGUCUUCUGUGGACGGGGCAGGGGUGUAACGACUCCUAGCUCUGCCCCUGCCUCAGGAGCAACCAACCAGACACUCCGCUCAGACUCCACGGCCAAUGGGAGAAGACAGGCGGGUCCCAGGCUGUCCAAUGGGACAUUGCGUUAGACUAAGUUAAAGUGCCUCUGAGGAAACCAUCUGCUGUAUAGUGUCAAUGUUAUUGAUAUUCAUGAAAACCAGUACUGUGGCCCUCCAGGGCCUGGAGUUGAAAACUGAAUAUGAUACAUGAUCUAUACUGCCAUGUGCCAACAAUAAACAUGUUACACAUUAACAUCAUAGACACAAUGCAAACUAACCGACAGACUUACACACACUGUAACUCUUCAUGUAAGACAUGGAGAGCAAUGUGUUGAGCUGAAGUAUGCCUCUCUCUGGAAUAAAUAAAAUGUAUCAUAA